ensembl:lncRNA
GCCCUGAUCAUUCAGAGGAUGCCCCCACCUCACAAACAGUGUUUAAAACCAGGCUAGGGACUUCCCUGGUGGUUCAGUGGUUAAGUCUCUGCACUUCCAAUACCUAAGAUCCCACAUGCUGCAUGGCGUGGCCUGAACAAACAAGCCGAAAAACCAGGACUCAGCGGAUGGAUGGGAACCACAGAUGAGGAAUGCAUCAUCUCAGCAAAUGCUUACCGGGGGUGUGGCUCUUCAAUGGUGCUGAGGAUGCAGCGGAGAAGUUAGGAGCAGAGAUGGCCAGCUGCAUGUUUCCCCUGGGAGGCAGAUGAGAAAAACAGUGACCAAUGCAGGGCCCAGCCUCAGAAGUCCUCCAAUCAAGUGGUCAACUGUCCAGUGCUCCUUCUGGAGGAUCUAGGGGAGACUUUCCUUUUUUGCCUUCUCUAGCUUCUAGAAGCCACAUGUGUUUUUUGAUUUGAAACCCCUGUUCCCAUCUUCAAAGUGCAUCCCUUCAACCUCAGCUCCAAAUCAGAGCCUGUGUUCCAGGCUCUCGCCUCCACUCUGUCC